rnacentral:rRNA from 1 species
UGGGGAAUUGUUCGCAAUGGGCGCAAGCCUGACGACGCAACGCCGCGUGGGGGAUGAAGGUCUUCGGAUUGUAAACCCCUGUUGGGAGGGACGAACACUCCUGUGGUGAAUAUCCACGAGAGCUGACGGUACCACCUGAGGAAGCCCCGGCUAACUCUGUGCCAGCAGCCGCGGUAAUACAGAGGGGGCAAGCGUUGUUCGGAAUUACUGGGCGUAAAGGGCGCGUAGGCGGCCCGCUAAGUCGAACGUGAAAUCCCCAGGCUCAACCUGGGAACUGCGUCCGAUACUGGCAGGCUUGAAUCCGGGAGAGGGAUGUGGAAUUCCAGGUGUAGCGGUGAAAUGCGUAGAUAUCUGGAGGAACACCGGUGGCGAAGGCGGCAUCCUGGACCGGUAUUGACGCUGAGGCGCGAAAGCUAGGGGAGCAAA